rnacentral:rRNA from 1 species
CCCUUCGGGGGAGGAGUAAAGCGGCGCACGGGUGAGUAACACGUGGGCAACCUGCCCUUGAGUUUGGGACAACCCGGGGAAACCCGGGCUAAUACCGGAUACGGCCGUUGGGACCUCGGUCCCUUCGGAGAAGAUGGCCUCUGCUUGCACGCUAUCGCUCGAGGAUGGGCCCGCGGCCCAUUAGCUUGUUGGUGAGGCAGCGGCUCACCAAGGCGAAGAUGGGUAGCUGGUCUGAGAGGAUGAUCACCCACACUGGAACUGAGACACGGUCCAGACUUCUACGGGAGGCAGCAAUAAGGAAUUUUGGGCAAUGGGCGAAAGCCUGACCCAGCAACGCCGUGUGUGGGAUGAAGGCCCUCGGGUCGUAAACCACUGUCAGGGGGAACGAACUACUCCUGGUUAAUAUCCAGGACGGCUGACGGCACCCCCAAAGGAAGUGCCGGCUAACUCCGUGCCAGCA